rnacentral:rRNA from 1 species
AGGACGAACGCUGGCGGCGUGCUUAACACAUGCAAGUCGAACGGUGACCCUCGGAGCUUGCUCUGGGGUGAUCAGUGGCGAACGGGUGAGUAACACGUGAGUAACCUGCCCCAGACUCUGGGAUAACACCGGGAAACCGGUGCUAAUACCGGAUACGACACGAAGAGGCAUCUCUAUCGUGUGGAAAGAAUUUCGGUCUGGGAUGGACUCGCGGCCUAUCAGCUUGUUGGUGAGGUAAUAGCUCACCAAGGCGACGACGGGUA